rnacentral:rRNA from 1 species
UACGGGGGGGGCAAGCGUUGUUCGGAAUUACUGGGCGUAAAGGGCUCGUAGGUGGCCAACUAAGUCGGACGUGAAAUCCCUCGGCUUAACCGGGGAACUGCGUCUGAGACUGGCGGGCUUGAGUACAGGAGAGGAACGCGGAAUUCCAGGUGUAGCGGUGAAAUGCGUAGAUAUCUGGAGGAACACCGGUGGCGAAGGCGGCGUUCUGGACUGUUACUGACACUGAGGAACGAAAGCCAGGGGAGCAAACGGG